GAUGAACGCUGGCGGCGUGCCUAAUACAUGCAAGUCGAGCGAACAGAUAAGGAGCUUGCUCCUUUGACGUUAGCGGCGGACGGGUGAGUAACACGUGGGUAACCUACCUAUAAGACUGGGAUAACUUCGGGAAACCGGAGCUAAUACCGGAUAACAUUUGGAACCGCAUGGUUCUAAAGUGAAAGAUGGUUUUGCUAUCACUUAUAUAUGGACCCGCGCCGUAUUAGCUAGUUGGUAAGGUAACGGCUUACCAAGGCGACGAUACGUAGCCGACCUGAGAGGGUGAUCGGCCACACUGGAACUGAGACACGGUCCAGACUCCUACGGGAGGCAGCAGUAGGGAAUCUUCCGCAAUGGGCGAAAGCCUGACGGAGCAACGCCGCGUGAGUGAUGAAGGGUUUCGGCUCGUAAAACUCUGUUAUUAGGGAAGAACAAACGUGUAAGUAACUGUGCACGUCUUGACGGUACCUAAUCAGAAAGCCACGGCUAACUACGUG
rnacentral:rRNA from 1 species